GAGAGAAUAGCCGCCUGCGUGGGUGGUCUGGGGCUCCAGAGCCCAAACUCAGAGGGAACAGAUGACAUCAUGGAUUCACAUGACAGGCUCCUGAUGGCAAUGAAACUUCUUCUGAAGAAUGGUCCCCCUUUGUCUAGGAAGGAUGCCUCCUUUAGGACUUACAGGGAAUAUCCAGAGAGGCUGGGUCACCUCUGGGCCAUCAAGAGGGGAGCUCUGGUGAUGCAGCACUUCAUAAAGGGGGCUCGGUGACUGUCUUUAGGACUUUGUCACCCACUCAGUAAGAUUGCAGCUUGCUUUCCUCAUCUUCCCUAGGUGUCAAAGGAGGGUGUUCAGAUUGCAAGUGGGACUCGUAUUCCUUCCUCAAGUGGCGCUUGUGGUCUCAUUCCACCGUCAGGAAUAACCACGUUUCCAGGCAAACAAUAACACUUGGGCAGGUGAUGGCAGCCUUACCUCACUAGCCUCCUGCUGGCAGCGACUGAGAUGCCAUCUGCUCGCUGUGACUUGUAGCCUGAUUUCAGAGAUAAU